GAAGGCAUAGCUUGGUGGUAGAGCACAUGCUAAGCAUGCAUGAGGUCCUGGGUUCAAUCCCCAGUACCUCCA
rnacentral:tRNA from 1 species